UGCGCGUGCCCUUCGACAGUUUCCACUGUCGUUUCCUAACUAUAGAUUUUCUCCACUCAAUCAUCAUCAGCCAAGCCUGACGACAGAUAAUGCUAUCACCUUAUUGUACUUUUAGGGUUCAAGGUAAGUCAAACCCUGUUAGAACCAAAAGUCAAAUCUAUCAAGCGUAUGUUCCUAAGUACGGCCGCACGAGAUAAAACCCCAGAGGAGGACAAUUUUGUACUCUUAUAUCCCGAGCAGAGAGAGAUCGACGUCCGCUACAAGCUUACUGAGCGGACUCAAAGGACUCGGUCAGACUCAAAUCCCAAAGCGAAGAUGGAACUCGACAUGGGAACUAUGGCGGAAUCCAUCGGGGUAUCGGUGCCGGUGCUUCGAUUUCUUCUAUGUUUCGUGGCGACGAUACCGGUGAGUUUUUCAUGGCGACUUGUUCCGGGUCGACUAGCUAAACACGUUUACUCAGCAUUUUCAGGAGCGUUGCUUUCCUAUCUGUCAUUUGGGUUCUCUUCGAAUCUGCAUUUCUUGGUGCCCAUGGUGUUGGGUUAUGCUGCAAUGGUUCUUUAUCGGCCCAAGUGUGGGGUUAUCACAUUUUUCUUGGGUUUUGGUUAUUUGAUUGGCUGCCAUGUAUAUUACAUGAGCGGGGAUGCUUGGAAGGAAGGAGGCAUCGAUGCGACUGGAGCGUUGAUGGUCUUGACACUGAAAGUCAUUUCAUGUGCGAUAAAUUACAAUGAUGGGUUGUUGAAAGAGGAAGGGUUACGUGAGGCUCAGAAGAAAAAUCGAUUGAUUAAGUUGCCUUCAUUGAUUGAGUAUUUUGGGUACUGCCUCUGCUGUGGCAGUCACUUUGCUGGUCCAGUUUAUGAGAUGAAGGACUACCUUGAGUGGACUGAAGGGAAGGGGAUUUGGGCUCAUUCAGAUAAAAGAUCUCCAUCACCUUAUGGGGCGACUUUCCGAGCACUUGUCCAAGCUGCUAUCUGCAUGGCAUUGUAUCUUUACCUUGUACCAUAUCAUCCCUUGACACGUUUUACUGAACCCAUAUACCAAGAAUGGGGAUUCUGGAAGAAAUUGAGUUACCAGUAUAUGUCUGGCUUUACAGCACGUUGGAAAUAUUAUUUCAUCUGGUCAAUUUCGGAGGCCUCUAUUAUUAUCUCUGGCCUUGGUUUCAGUGGAUGGACAGAAUCUUCACCCCCAAAACCGAAGUGGGAUCGUGCAAAGAAUGUUGACAUCCUAGGGGUUGAGCUAGCAAAGAGUUCUGUUGUGUUACCACUUGUGUGGAACAUACAAGUCAGCACCUGGCUUCGUCAUUAUGUUUAUGAGAGACUUAUUACAAAAGGGAAGAAACCUGGGUUUUUCCAGUUGCUGGCCACACAGACUGUCAGUGCUGUUUGGCAUGGAUUGUAUCCUGGGUACAUCAUAUUCUUUGUUCAGUCAGCUUUGAUGAUUGCUGGUUCAAGAGUUAUUUUCCGAUGGGAACAAGCUACGAAUAUGGCUCUUGUGAAAAAAGCAUUUGUCUUGAUGAACUUUGCUUACACACUCUUGGUUCUGAACUACUCUGCCGUUGGUUUUAUGGUAUUAAGCAUGCAUGAGACACUUGCCUCAUACAGUAGUGUGUACUAUAUCGGAACCAUCCUUCCCAUAGCAUUGAUUCUUCUUGGUUACAUUAUACCCGCCAAGCCUGCCAGAUCUAAAGCCCGUAAAGAACAGUGAGGCUAAAGCCGUAUAUUCUUCUCUUUGGAGUGAGGAAGAGCACUGGUUUCUCUGGUUAGGAUGAUUUAUGGUGUUAGCAUUGGAGACAGUUUGGAAGUUUUUUGUUUUCCCCCAUGUUCCUCGCUUGUGGUGUGAUUAUUCCCUGCUUUGCUUUUGGCUUUGGGCUGGCAUUGCCAUUGCUGUUGCUUUCCCAAUACCAUACCGUUGGCAAAGGUUCUGGUCUUACCUGAAAAGCUGAAGAACCUGUUGGUCAAAAAGUAACAACAACACUAGUUACUCGGCAGGCUGGAUGUGGAUCAGCAGAUCAGAGAAUUGUAGGCUUUCAAUUUGAUCACGUGUCAUAAUGGUCAACCUUUUUAUUAUUCCAACCUUUGGAAUUCUGUUCCAGCUAGCCUCUCAAUGGCAAAAUCAUACCCGGAAUGUUACAGUUGGACUUAACUUGUCAUUUUAAUUGCAGUCAUUAUUCUCUUUCUAGAAAGUUAAUCUCACGAGAUGAGUCAUUGUCAAGUAAUUAUUAUUUUUUGAUGAAUAAAUUAAUUUGAUAGAA